rnacentral:rRNA from 1 species
GCUUACGGCCAUAUCACGUUGAAAGCACCGGUUCUCGUCCGAUCACCGAAGUUAAGCAACGUCGAGCCUAGUUAGUACUUAGAUGGGAGACCGCUUGAGAAAUGUAGGUGCUGUAAGCG